AUGGAGGUGGAGUUGGCCAACCAGUACGUCUCCAACCUGGGGAUGGCGUCCCCCCCGUCGGCGGCCCUGCUCGACAAGGGAAUGACGGUGUCCUGCGACACGGGUGUGCCUGCCGGGAGCUUCUUCCGGAACAGGCGGGGACUGCAUCAGGGCGACCCCAUGUCACCGCUCUUGCUCAAUUUUGUGGUCGACGCCCUUGCGGCUAUGCUUCGGAGGGCGAGCAUGGAUGGCAACAUCAAGGGAGUGGUCGGGCACCUCAUCCCAGGGGAGAUCUCGCACUUGCAGUACGCAGAAGACACCAUGCUGCUGUUUCAGCCGGAUGCUCACCUAUCGCAAGGGGCGACGGGCUUAUGGGCUGACAUCCUUCGAGCCAAGUACUUCCCAAAUGGGAAUUUCUUUGAAGGGGAAGCAAGGGGCUCCCCUUUUUGGCAAGAUUUGCAGGCCAUCAGACCUGCUUUCGAUCAAGGGGCCAAGUUUAAUAUUGGCAAUGGUCGUUCUACCGAAUUCUGGUUAGAUUACUGGGUGGGUGCCCGACCACUCUGGGAAGAGUUCCCAGAGCUUUACGCCCUAGCGGUGCAUCCUAAUCAAAAGGUGGCCGAGGUGCUGGCUGCUCCACAGGCCGUAGCUUUCCGCCGAAACCUUAACGUGCAGGAAUCAGCAAGGUGGGGUGCUUUGUUGGACUUCACGGCCACUGUGACGCUUACUGACGUGCCAGAUAGGGUGUCCUGGCACCUCAACGCCUCCGGGAGGUUUUCAGUUAAAUCCUUAUACCAUAAACUGUGCCAGGGGUCGGUACAGCGAGAGGUGAAAGGACUGUGGCAAGCAUGCGUUCCGCUCAAGAUUAAAGUCUUUCUUUGGCAACUGUUUCGGGAUCGUUUACCGACAUCCGUCAACAUAGCAAAACGGAAUGACCCUGCUACGGGCAUGUGUGCGCUGUGUGGGAACCCCGAGAACGCGAAUCACGCAUUUUUCCUCUGCCCCCUCGCUAGGUUUGCGUGGAGUGCCGUUCGGGAUGCUGCCGGGGUAGCCUGGGACCCACGAUCCUCAUCCGAACUAGUGGACCUUCUACAUUCGGUGCAGGCCAAACGGCAAUGGAGUCCGUUGGCGAAGCAGAAGGACACUGAUCUCAUGAAGCUCGCGCAAGUCCGUGUGCACCAAGUGUUCGUGGCGGCUAGGGAGCCGGCGAUGCCUACCUAA
rnacentral:rRNA from 1 species